CAGAGGUCCCGAGCGUUGUUCGGAUUCACUGGGCGUAAAGGGUGCGUAGGUGGUGAGGUAAGUCGGAUGUGAAAUCUCCGGGCUCAACCCGGAAACUGCAUUGGAAACUACCUUGCUGAGGUUUUGAGGGGGACUGGAAUUCUCGGUGUAGCAGUGAAAUGCGUAGAUAUCGAGAGGAACACCAGUGGCGAAGGCGAGUCCCUGGAAAAACACCUGACACUGAGGCACGAAAGCUAGGGGAGCAAACAGGAUUAGAUACCCUGGUAGUCCUAGCCCUAAACGGUGCUUGCUUGCUGUAAGUGGAAUCGACCCCACUUGUGGCGGAGCUAACGCGUUAAGCAAGCCGCCUGGGAAGUACGGUCGCAAGAUUA
rnacentral:rRNA from 1 species